AAAUAACCAUCACCCUCCGAAGUUGUUAGUAAAUAAAAAAUCUGCCAUGAAGUGAUUUGUGAGGGGCAGCUCUGCAGAACCUCCCUCCCUCCACGUGCACGUUCAGGUUGUGCUGCCCAUGGGCUGAGCUCCUUUUUUAUCUUUGGAUGGAGGGUGAAGCCUCUCUCUUCCCUCCCUUGUUCCUACACGUUCCCCUGCACACACCCACUUUAACAGCCUUUGCUGGGGUAGCUGUUUGUCUGUCUCUCCCUCUGAUCCCACCUGACUGAAAACCCUUUGUUGCAAAAAGGUUUCCUUUAUUAAAAUCCUCUUUUGCAUACUGGGAGGGGGCGGGUUUGAUUGGCACGGAUGGAGAAAGGCAGGAGGAGGCUCUGCAGCGCCUGGUGAGGCGACAACCAAAAUAUCAGGAGAGAUUUUAAAGCUCAUCUUUGAGGAGAAUUCUGCAUCUCUAAAGCAAACUUUGAGGAAUCAUCUGCUGUGGUUUCAAAGGCAGCCUGCGUGUGUUUCCUCAGCUGAUCAGUGCAAGGUUCUUAAAAUUCUUCACCUAAAAUGCGAGACGGAGGGGGAAAUCCAGAGGAGAAUUCAGCCCUGAAUUCAGCCCUGCUGUUGGAUGCAGCUGAUGAAGUCCAACCUGCUGAUUUGGGUCACCCAGGGUUGCAGGAGUGGCACUGCAGAGGCGACAGGAGCUGGAUGAAUUCUGGCAGCCCCAGCUCACGUUGCAGGGCAGAGAAACAGGUGACUGAACGUGCUGGGGCUGCCAAGAAUUUGCUGUUUUGACCCAACACUGCCACAGUACCGGCCGAAAUGGAAGGGAGCACACAUGGAGACAUCUCUUCAGAGGAGCUGCUGAGCGUGGGGAAGGAGAAGAAGAAGGAGAAGAAGAAGCAGCAGAGAGCAAAGGGAAAACGCACAAGUGGCUGUGGUUGGAGGGGUGAUGAUGUCACCGGGCUCAGUGGGAACACGGCGCUUUUAAAAAGCUGAAAGAAACAUCCUGACCCUCACUUGUCACAUCCCCACCCAGGAGCCACACACACACACACAGAGCCGAGUUAUCCUCAGCCAAG
rnacentral:lncRNA from 1 species